GCACUCACUUUAGCAGCACAGAUACUAAAAUUGGAACGAUAGAGAUUAGCAUGGCCCCUGCACAAGGAUGACAGACAAAUCUGUGAAGCAUUCCAUAAUAAA